AAUAGAUACCCUGGUAGUCCACGCCCUAAACGAUGUCAACUAGUUGUUGUGGAUUCAUUUCCUUAGUAACGUAGCUAACGCGUGAAGUUGACCGCCUGGGGAGUACGGUCGCAAGAUUAAAACUCAAAGGAAUUGACGGGGACCCGCACAAGCGGUGGAUGAUGUGGAUUAAUUCGAUGCAACGCGAAAAACCUUACCUACCCUUGACAUGGUCGGAAUCCUGCUGAGAGGCGGGAGUGCUCGAAAGAGAACCGGCGCACAGGUGCUGCAUGGCUGUCGUCAGCUCGUGUCGUGAGAUGUUGGGUUAAGUCCCGCAACGAGCGCAACCCUUGUCCUUAGUUGCUACGCAAGAGCACUCUAAGGAGAUUGCCGGUGACAAACCGGAGGAAGGUGGGGAUGACGUCAAGUCCUCAUGGCCCUUAUGGGUAGGGCUUCACACGUCAUACAAUGGUCGGAACAGAGGGUUGCCAAGCCGCGAGGUGGAGCCAAUCCCAGAAAACCGAUCGUAGUCCGGAUCGCAGUCUGCAACUCGAC
rnacentral:rRNA from 1 species